rnacentral:ncRNA from 1 species
CAAAAGGCUUGGUCCUGACUUUCCUAUCAGCUUUAGCCAUAUUUACACAUGCAAAGUAUCCGCCCGCCCGUGAGAAUGCCCUACAGUUUCCCGCCCGGAAACAAGGAGCUGGUAUCAGGCUCAACCCCGUACGUUGGCCCAUAACGCCUUGCAUAGCCACACCCUCAAGGGAAUUCAGCAGUGAUAAACAUUAAGCCAUGAGUGAAAACUCGACUUAGUUAAGGCUAAGAGGGCCGGUAAAACUCGUGCCAGCCACCGCGGUUAUACGAGAGGCCCAAGUUGAUAGUUGCCGGCGUAAAGCGUGGUUAAGAAAAUAUUCAUAAACUAAAGCCGAAUACUCUCAGAACUGUCAUACGUACCCGAGAGAAAGAAGCCCCCCUACGAAAGUGGCUUUAACUGUUCCUGACCCCACGAAAGCUGGGAAACAAACUGGGAUUAGAUACCCCACUAUGCCCAGCCCUAAACUUUGAUAGCAAGAUACAUCCGCUAUCCGCCCGGGUACUACGAGCACCAGCUUAAAACCCAAAGGACUUGGCGGUGCUUUAGACCCCCCUAGAGGAGCCUGUUCUAGAACCGAUAACCCCCGUUAAACCUCACCCUCCCUUGUUCAUUCCCGCCUAUAUACCGCCGUCGUCAGCUUACCCUGUGAAGGCCCAAAAGUAAGCAGAACCAGUAUAACUCAAAACGUCAGGUCGAGGUGUAGCAUAUGAGAGGGGAAGAAAUGGGCUACAUUCUCUGCCUCAGAAUACACGGAUAAUGUCAUGAAAAAACAUUGGAAGGAGGAUUUAGCAGUAAGCAAAAAAUAGAGUGUUUUGCUGAAAUUGGGCCCUGAAGCGCGCACACACCGCCCGUCACUCUCCCCAAGCUUAAGACCUGUCUUUAACUAAAAAGCUAAACAAGCAAAGGGGAGGCAAGUCGUAACAUGGUAAGUGUACCGGAAGGUGCGCUUGGACAAAC